UUUAACUUGACUUGCAAGCAAUCUCUUAGAAUUUGGGUCACACAAUUCUAACAAUCUCCACCUUGACACGAAUUCUUUCAAUGCCAUCUUUGCCAAAACCCGCCACGGGCCUAUCUUGAACUAUGCAGGGAAUUAACUGAGUCGAAUCUAUGCUUAGAAGCUGGAAGACUUCUAACCUUCGACUUGUGCACUGCCAAAUCAAAACUAACCUGGGUCUGAUUUUCACGAAUACAGUGCCCUAACUUUUCAAAACCUGCAUCCAAAAGAGAACCUCUCUUCAACGAAACGGUCAUACCUUUUUCCCUCCUAUGACCAAGUUGCCUCCGCUUCAAAUGAGUUGACUUUGACUCC
rnacentral:lncRNA from 1 species